CCGCUAUUCCUCGGACAUCCACUAGAUGUCACCCAUGUGCUACCCCUGGAAAGCGGCAAGGUUCAACCCGGGCGCACACCUGCAGCUCGUUUAGAGGGCGUGGAUCCUGGAUAUAAGCAGCAGCUCCGCUCCUUCUCAUCACUUGAGUGUUUUGCUUACCUCGGUAACAGAUCGUUCCAGAGAAAGGCCCUCUGUGAUCUUCGCUGUUCUAACUCCUUGUUGUCUCUCGUCAGAUGAUCCAGCUGUCUCCUUGUUGUUGUGGAUCACCUACCUCCUGUGUCUUCCCUCGACGCUCCCGGUGUUACCGGUCAGACGCCACCCCUCGUGUGUUUGUCUUCCCCCCUUCGUGGAUCCUUCUCCGGUGGAUUCCCCUUCGGAGCGUUCCGGGUCAGGAGACCCAAGUCCGAACCUCACCGGAGAAAAGAUACUACAAGAACAGGAACCUACGCUGCUACUCCGUCCGUUAAUGAUCACUGUCCGCUCUCCAACGAGUCAUACUCACACAAACCCAAGCUGAUACUCCACCCAUCUCAAUAAGACGACCUGGUCCUCUGCUCCAGUAUUCUCCCCCUCUCCAUUCUUCCCCUGACUUCAAUAAACCAUAAUUGUACUUUUA